UCUUGGGUCGUAAACCUCUUUUAUCAGGGAAGAACACAAUGACGGUACCUGAUGAAUCAGCAUCGGCUAACUCUGUGCCAGCAGCCGCGGUAAUACAGAGGAUGCAAGCGUUAUCCGGAAUUAUUGGGCGUAAAGCGUCCGCAGGUGGUUUUGGUAGUCUGCUGUCAAAGCGCGAGGCUCAACUUCGUAUCGGCGGUGGAAACUCCAAGACUAGAGYUWGGUAGGGGUCACGGGAAUUCCCAGUGUAGCGGUGAAAUGCGUAGAUAUUGGGAAGAACACCAGCGGCGAARGCGCKUGACUGGGCCUGARCUGACACUCAUGGACGAAAGCUAGGGGAGCG
rnacentral:rRNA from 1 species